UUAAUUCUGAUCUUUUCUGUGUUAAUUGCAUAAGCAGUACUACAGAUCCAUUUGCUGAAGGGUAAAGCUCCUUUGUUUAGAACUGCUGUGACUUGACAUUCUCCACAUCGUGAGCUGUUGACACUUGAAAAUGAACAAAGCUGUGCACUAUAUGCAGGGUAAAUUGUACCCCGUUUCGUAGAUCUUUAUGUUUGGAUCUUCCCUUGUGUGUCUGUCCCCAAUGUCCUCCCCCCAUCCUUAAUCUUAAUUUGUGAGCCUCUUGAGGGCCUAAGACCGUGCCUAGAUCUCAUUCUCGUCCUUUUUUGCUGGCAUUUGGUACAGUGCUUCGCAAACAGUAGGUGCUUAAUAAAUACUAUUAUUUCUACCACUACAACCACAAAAAACCUGGAUGUUAAAUGCAGCUCUCUUGAGCCACUGGCCAAUAUGGGUAUAUUUGCAUAUCUUGGUGAGUUCAGCUGUCCCCUUCCUAGUGUGGCUGGUUGGCAAAACUAACAACCUUGAAAUAUUUACACUAUUUAAAUGAUCCAUAAUUGGAAGAGGGUGUAUGAGUGGAAUUUUGAAUUCUUUAUUUUGUUUGGCUGCAUAUUACUAGCAAGACCAGAGAAAUUGCCACUGUUGGCGAGACCCAGGGUCAGAGGAGCUGGAAGAAGGCAAGCCAAAAGCUGAGCACAAAUCAACAAGAGAAAACCAUGACUCGGAAGUUUGAAGCGGAAGAUAUUCAGUGAGCUCUAAAUGCCUGAGUUGGAAUCUUAAUUGUUCACUUUUCUUUAUGCCUUUAUUUAUGUAAAGCAAAUCAAGUUUUCCUUAUUAUUAUUUGGACUCAAGUAAAAAUGAUGAUGAUGAUGAUGAGCAGCAAGUGCUUAUUUUGUGCCAAACACUGUACCAGAUGUACUACAAUCAGAUCAGACACAGUCCCGGUCCCAUCUGGAGCUUGGAGAAGGAUCUGCAUCUUGAGUUAGGUCUUGGGCAAAUUAUCAGGCAAAAGAACUCAAGCCCGGUCCGCUCCCAGACUUCUCCAUCACCGUGGAUGGCACGACCAUCCUUCCCGUCCCGCAGGCCCGCAAUCUCGGUGUCAUCCUUGACUCGUCCCUCUCGUUCACCCCACACAUCCUAUCCGUUACCGAGACCUGCCGGUUUCACCUCUACAAUAUCGCCAAGAUCCGCCCUUUCCUCUCCACCCAAACGGCUACCUUACUAUUACGGGCUCUCGUUAUAUCCCGGCUAGACUACUGUGUCAGCCUUCUCUCUGACCUCCCUUCCUCCUCUCUCGCCCCGCUCCGGUCUAUUCUUCACUCCGCUGCCCGGCUCAUCUUCCUGCAGAAACGAUCUGGGCAUGUCACUCCCCUUCUUAAACAACUCCAGUGGUUGCCUAUCGACCUCCGCUCCAAACAGAAACUCCUCACUCUAGGCUUCAAGGCUCUCCAUCACCUUGCCCCUUCCUACCUCUCCUCCCUUCUCUCUUUCUACCGCCCACCCCGCACGCUCCGCUCCUCCGCCGCCCACCUCCUCGCCGUCCCUCGGUCUCGCCUAUCCCGCCGUCGACCCCUGGGUCACGUCCUCCCGCGGUCCUGGAACGCCCUCCCUCCUCACCUCCGCCAAACUGAUUCUCUUUCCCUCUUCAAAACCUUACUUUAAAAUCACCUCCUCCAAGAGGCCUUCCCAGACUGAGCUCCUCUUCCCCCUCUACUCCCUCUGCCAUCCCCCCUUUACCUCUCCGCAGCUAAAGCCUCAUUUUCCCCUUUUCCCUCUGCUCCUCCACCUCUCCCUUCCCAUCCCCACAGCACUGUACCCGUCCGCUCAACUGUAUAUAUUUUCGUUACCCUAUUUAUUUUGUUAAUGAAUUGUACAUCGCCUCGAUUCUAUUUAGUUGCCAUUGUUUUUACGAGAUGUUCUUCCCCUUGACGCUGUUUAGUGCCAUCGUUCUUGUCUGUCCGUCUCCCCCGAUUAGACUGUAAGCCCGUCAAACGGCAGGGACUGUCUCUAUCUGUUGCUGACUUGUUUAUCCCAAGCGCUUAGUACAGUGCUCUGCACAUAGUAAGCGCUCAAUAAAUACUAUUGAAUGAAUGAAUAGUCUAGCCGGAAUAUUACGAGAGCCC
rnacentral:lncRNA from 1 species